AAAAAAAAACCAAAAAAACAAUGUAAAUUUCA
rnacentral:sRNA from 1 species